UACGAAGGGGGCUAGCGUUGUUCGGAUUUACUGGGCGUAAAGCGCACGUAGGCGGAUUGGUCAGUUAGGGGUGAAAUCCCAGAGCUCAACUCUGGAACUGCCCUUAAUACUGCCAGUCUAGAGUCCGGAAGAGGUAAGUGGAACUCCUAGUGUAGAGGUGGAGUUCGUAGAUAUUAGGAAGAACACCAGUGGCGAAGGCGGCUUACUGGUCCGGUACUGACGCUGAGGUGCGAAAGCGUGGGGAGCAAACAGG
rnacentral:rRNA from 1 species